rnacentral:rRNA from 1 species
GGUUGAGAUCAUACCAGCACUAAUGCACCGGAUCCCUUCAGAACUCCGCAGUUAAGCGUGCUUGGGCGAGAGUAGUACUAGGAUGGGUGACCCCCUGGGAAGUCCUCGUGUUGCAACCC